UACCUACGGGGGGCAGCAGUGGGGAAUAUUGCACAAUGGGGGAAACCCUGAUGCAGCGACGCCGCGUGAGUGAAGAAGUAUUUCGGUAUGUAAAGCUCUAUCAGCAGGAACGAGACAAGACGGUACCUGACUAAGAAGCCCCGGCUAACUACGUGCCAGCAGCCGCGGUAAUACGUAGGGGGCAAGCGUUAUCCGGAUUUACUGGGUGUAAAGGGAGCGUAGACGGCUGCGCAAGUCUGAAGUGAAAGCCCGGGGCUCAACCCCGGGACUGCUUUGGAAACUGUGUAGCUAGA
rnacentral:rRNA from 1 species